rnacentral:rRNA from 1 species
AAACUUUCAACAACGGAUCUCUUGGUUCUGGCAUCGAUGAAGAACGCAGCAAAAUGCGAUAAGUAAUGUGAAUUGCAGAAUUCAGUGAAUCAUCGAAUCUUUGAACGCACAUUGCGCCCCCUGGUAUUCCGGGGGGCAUGCCUGUUCGAGCGUCAUU